rnacentral:rRNA from 1 species
AAUGAACGCUGGCGGCAGGCCUAACACAUGCAAGUCGAGCGAAGUCUUCGGACUUAGCGGCGGACGGGUGAGUAACGCGUGGGAACAUGCCCUUUGGUGCGGAAUAGCCCCGGGAAACUGGGAGUAAUACCGCAUGUGCCCUUCGGGGGAAAGAUUUAUCGCCAAAGGAUUGGCCCGCGUUGGAUUAGGUAGUUGGUGGGGUAAUGGCCUACCAAGCCGACGAUCCAUAGCUGGUUUGAGAGGAUGAUCAGCCACACUGGGACUGAGACACGGCCCAGACUCCUACGGGAGGCAGCAGUGGGGAAUCUUAGACAAUGGGCGCAAGCCUGAUCUAGCCAUGCCGCGUGAUCGAUGAAGGCCUUAGGGUUGUAAAGAUCUUUCAGUGGGGAAGAUAAUGACGGUACCCACAGAAGAAGCCCCGGCUAACUCCGUGCCAGCCGCCGCGGUAAUAC